rnacentral:misc_RNA from 1 species
UCUCCGUAGGUGAACCUGCGGAGGGAUCAUUACUGAGUGAGGGCUCACGCCCGACCUCCAACCCUUUGUAAUCCAUACCAUGUUGCCUCGGGGGCGACCCUGCCGUUUCGACGGCGAGCGCCCCCGGAGGCCUUCAAACACUGCAUCUUUGCGUCGGAGUUUAAGUAAAUUAAACAAAACUUUCAACAACGGAUCUCUUGGUUCUGGCAUCGAUGAAGAACGCAGC